rnacentral:siRNA from 1 species
UUAGGAACCGAUGUGCUUAUAUG